rnacentral:rRNA from 1 species
GAUGAACGCUAGCGGCAGGCCUAAUACAUGCAUGUCGAACGGUGUCUUCGGACAUAGUGGCGCACGGGUGCGUAACACGUAUGCAACCUACCUUACAUUGGGGGAUAGCCUUUCGAAAGGUAGAUUAAUACCGCAUAAGACAGUAGCUGGGCAUCCAGCAGCUGUUAAAGAUUUAUCGAUGUAAGCUGGGCAUGCGUCCAAUUAGCUAGUUGGUGAGGUAACGGCUCACCAAGGCAAUGAUUGGUAGGGGAACUGAGAGGUCAAUCCCCCACCCUGGCACUGAGAUACGGGCCAGACUCCGUCGGUAGGCAGCAGUAGGGAAUAUUGGGCAAUGGACGCAAGUCUGGCCCAGCCAUGCCGCGUGCAGGAUGAAGGCGUUAUGCGUUGUAAACUGCUUUUAUACAGGAAGAAACGACUCUUGCGAGAGGCAUUGACGGUACUGUAUGAAUAAGCACCGGCUAACUCCGUGCCAGCCGCCGCCGUAACAC